rnacentral:tRNA from 1 species
GGGGUUGUGGCUCAGCAGCAGAGCGCUUGCCUAGCAUGCGUGAGGUACUGGGUUCGAUUCUCAGCACCA